AUGUUGCAAAGUAUUAGGGUCACACUAACAUGAGAUGGGGGGCGGGGAAAACUUGUAGUUUCCAAGGGUGAUGAAAGCCAGACACCUGUUUGACUACGUGCCCGUUAAAACCAACCAACCAACCCGUUGCGUUUGAGUCAGUUCUGACUCAUAACGACCCUGUAAGGACAGAGUAGAGCUGCCCCACUGGGUUUCAUGGAGCGCCUGGUGAAUUCGAACUGCCGACCUUUUGGUUAGCAGCUGUAGCUCCUAACCACUAUGCCACCAGGGUUUCAUGACUACGUGCAUUUGGGGAAAUAACUACCUGGAGCUCCCAACCAAGCAGUCAGUGUGCAAGAGGGCGGCGAUGGUCAACGAACGCGAAAGGGUUAAUACGGGAGUUGUGGCGGGGGGGGAGAGAGCAGAGGCGAAGGGGACUGUGGGAGCUCCGUUGUACGUCACUCCGUGGGCACCUGGGAAAUGUGCAGUGUUCGUCUCUAUAAUGGCCGCCCUUUGGGACAUUCAUUUGUAGAGUCCUGGUUAACAUGCUCAGCUGCUAAACCAAAAGGUUGGAGGUUCAAGACCUCCCAGAAGUACCUCAGAAGAAAGACCUGACUAUCUACUUCUGAAAAAUCAAGCCAUUGAAAACCCUACGGAGCACAGUUCUACUCUGACACACAUGGGGUCGCCAUGAGUUGGAAUCACCUCAGUGGCAACUGGUGGUGGUGGUGAGCCUCCAGGUGAGGAGCCCAAUUACCCCGAGGCUGCCACGCCGUUAGAGAUUUCGGGCCUGUGAGGUGAGGCGACCUACAGAUCCUCUGAUCAGCAGCCCCAGCUGAGGUUUCAGCCAACAGCCGACACCACCCAGCAGACCUGUCAAUGAAGACAUCUCUAGAUGAUUAACGCGCCCAACCAUUGAGUCUUCCCACCUGAUGAAGCAGAAACAAUUUCUGUUGCAAUUCCUGAACCACAGAAUCCAAGAGCAAAAUAAAAAGAUUGUUUCAUGCCAUUGAGUUUUGAUGUGGUAUAUUAUGAAGCAAUAGUAACCUCAUCAGAGGUAGCAAGUUUGGUUAACUUAAAGGGAGCAAAGAGGGCAAGGAUGUGGUAGAGAGGAAAUUGGCUAGUUGCCAAAGCAUUUAGCUUUGCUUAUCUGUGACAAGCUGGGAACCCUGAGCAUCAAAGGCAAGCUUAGACAAGAACUGAGGGGCAGGGGGAGGAAGAGACCAUUCACAAGUGAAGAGGAGUUACCGGACACCCUGAGGCACCAUUCCCAGAGCGGCAGUGGUGCCGGGCUGGUACUAGCGUUCAGCCACAGUUUCCUCAGGGAGAAGCAGCCAGCCCCACGGCCUACUCACACCUCUGGAAACUGAGAAGAACAGCGCUCUCAGCAAAAGCUAAGUACUUGCGUAUAUUUUACCAUGCCCACCCCCCACCCCCAAGCCAGCUUCAGCAGCUGAAUCCCUGGGCCCGAGAUAGGCCCUGUUGAGCACCUAGAGCCAUCCUCCCGGCUUUGGGGAAGGAAAAAAUUUGCAUUUGGGGGAAAAGAUAAUUUGCUAGCUCCAAUAACUGGGGGAGCUCAAGACAGAACUGGCUCCCGUCCAGGCAUAAACCAUCCAUGGACCUUGAGCACCUUUCCCUUCUACAUGGACCUGUGUAGGCCUAUUUCGGGAGAAUAGGCCCUUGUUGGCAAACUCCAACCAUUUCAGCUGUGUGGUGGAGAGGUGGGUGUUUGACAUUUGACAUAGCUUUGCCUAUUAAACCAGGUCCUCACCUAUCCACAUCAGGGACCUAAGGACUGGUAGCUCCACUCAGGUCACCCAGCCACCCGUGACAGGGGUCCAAAGAUAACUGGUACCUCCCAGUCCUUACAACCAAAAACUUUGGGUGCCCAUGGUCCCUCUGCAGAACCCACCCACCUGCAUGCUCUAGGGAAGAGGGACGCGUUUUCCUCAGAGACACCUGGGGGUUGGUUCUCAGCCCCCUGCCUUAUUCCAAGCAUGACCCCCUGCUGCAAUCAGAUACCGGUAUAUACGCCAAUCACCCCUGCCCCUCUAAGACUGUAGGACAGAGGACAGAGCCUGUACCACACACUUCAUGAUCAGCUACCUGGAAACCUGAGCUGAAUUCAUAUAAGAAAACUGAAUGGACUCCUAGACUGAUAUACCUGGUAACAGCUCUAGCCAGCUGGGGACAGGACAACAGAGCUCCAAAGGUGAAAAUAAUCAAGCUAGCUCACUCAAGCAACCCAUAGGGGUAUACCAAAACAAAACGAAGCAAGCAGCUACAACACAGUAAGCAAGCAUAAACUAAUACAAUAACUUAGAGAUGGCUCGGAGACAACAGUCAAUAUCAAGUCACAUAAAGAAACAGACCAUGAUCACCUCAACAGGCUCUCAAAACAAAGAAUCCACGGAUCUUUUAGAUGAAAGUGCGUUCCUGGAAUUACCAGAUGCAGAAUACAAAAGUUUAAUAUACAGAACCCUUCAGGACAUGAGGAAAGAAAUGAGGCAAUAUGCAGAACAAGCCAUGGAACACACAGAUAAAGCAACUGAAGAAAUUAGAAAGAUUAUUCAGGAAUAUAAUGAAAAGUUUAAUAAGCUGGAACAAUCCAUAGACAGCAAUCAGAAAUUCAGAAGAUUAACAAUAAAAUUACAGAAUUAGACAACUCAAUAGAAAGUCAGAGGAGCAGAAUUGAGCAAGUAGAAGCUAGAAUUUCUGAACUCAAAGAUAAAUCACUUGGCGCUAAUAUAUUUGAAGAAAAAUCAGAUAAAAGAAUUAAAAAAAAUGAAGAAACCUUAAGAAUCAUGUGGGACUCUAUCAAGAGAAAUAACCUAUGAGUGAUUGGAGUACCAGAACUGGGAGGGAUAACAGAAAAUACAGAGAGAAUUGUUCAAGAUUUGUUGGCAGAAAACUUCCCUGAUAUUGUGAAAGAUGAGAAGAUAUCUAUUCAAGAUGCUCAUCGAACUCCACAUAAGGUAGAUGUUAAAAGAAAGUCACCAAGACAUAUUAUAAUCAAACUUGCCAAAACCAAAGAUAAAGAGAGAAUUAUAAGAGCAGCGAGGGGUAACCGAAAAGUCACCUACAAAGGAGAGCCAAUAAGAAUAAGCUCAGACUACUCGGCAGAAACCAUGCAGGCAAGAAGGCAAUGAGAUGACAUAUUUAAAAAAUUGAAGGAAAAAAAUUGCCUGCCAAGAAUCAUAUAUCCAGCAAAACUGUCUCUUAAAUAUGAAGGUGAACUUAAGACAUUUCCAGAUAAACACAAGUUGAGGGAAUUCAUAAAAAUGAAACCAAAACUACAAGAAAUACUAAAGAGAGUUCUUUGGUUAGAAAAUCAAUAAUAUCAAGUAUGAACCCAAGACUAGAACACUGGGCAGAGCAACCAGAAGUCAACACAGACAGGGAAAUCCAAAAAAACAAAGCAAGAUAAUGAAAAAAAGCUCAAAACAGGGUAACAGCGUUGUUAUUAUAUAAAAGAAGACAACAUUAAAAUAAUAAAGAGGGACUAAGAAAUGUAAUCAUACACCUUCCAUAUGGAGAGGAAGAUAACAGCAAUACAAAGAAAUAAAAGUUGGUUUUAAAUUUAGAAAAAUAGGGGUAAAUAAUAAGGUAACCACAGAGGAGACAAACUAUCCUACUCAACAAAAUAAAAUACAAGGGAAAAAUAAUAAAGACUCAGCAGAAACAAAAUCAACAACAAUAUGAGGAAAGGACAAUAUAUAUAUAUAUUUUUUACUCAGCACAUAAAAUUAAGUGGGAAAAAGAAACUGUCAAAAACACAAAAAAAAGACAUCAAAAUGAUAGCACUAAAUUCAUACCUAUCCGUAAUUACCCUGAAUGUAAAUGGACUAAAUGCACCAAUAAAGAGACAGAGUGGCAAAAUGGAUUAAAAAACAAGAUCCGUCUAUAUGCUGCCUACAGGAGACACACCUUAGACUUAGAGACACAAACAAACUAAAACUCAAAGGAUGGAAAAAAAUAUAUCAAGCAAACAAAAAUCAAAAAAGAGCAGGAGUGGCAAUAUUAAUUUCUGACAAAAUAGACUUUAAAGUUAAAUGUAUCAUAAAGGAUAAGGAAGGACACUAUAUAAUGAUUAAAGGGACAAUACACCAAGAAGAUAUAACCAUAUUAAAUAUUUAUGCACCCAAUGACAGUGCUGCAAGAUACAUAAAACAAAGUCUAUCAGCAUUGAAAUGUGAGGUACAUAGCUCCACAAUAAUAGUAGGAGACUUCAACACACCACUUUUGGUGAAGGACAGGACCUCCAGAAAGAAGCUCAAUAAAGACACGGAAUAUCUAAAUGCCAGCACAGAAAAGCACAGAAUAUUACCAAACUCAUUCUAUGAAGCCACCAUAUCCCUGAUACCAAAACCAGGUAAAGACACCACAAGAAAAGAAAAUUAUAGAGUUACAUCCCUCAUAAACGUAGAUGCAAAAAUCCUCCACAAAAUUCCAGCCAAUAGAAUUCAACAACAUAUCAAAAAAAUAAUGCACCAUGACCAAGUGGGAUUCAUACCAGGUAUGCAGGGGUGGUUCAACAUUAGAAAAACAAUUAAUGUAAACCACCACAUAAAUAAAACAAAAGACAAGAAUCACAUGAUUUUAUCCAUCGAUGCAGAAAAGGCAUUUGACAAAGUUCAACACCCAUUCAUGAUAAAAACUCUCAGCAAAGUAGGAAUAGAAGGAAAAUUCCUCAACAUAGUAAAGGGCAUUUAUACAAAGCCAAAAGCCAACAUCACCCUAAAUGGAGAGAGCCUGAAAACAUUCCCGUUGAGAUUGGGAACCAGACAAGGAUGCCCUUUAUCACCGCUCUUAUUCAACAUUGGGCUGGAGGUUCUAGCCAGAGCAAUUAGGCUAGAUAAAGAAAUAAAGGGCAUCCAGAUUGGCAAGGAAGAAGUCAAAGUAUCUCUCUUUGCAGAUGACAUGAUCUUAUACACAGAAAACCCUAAGGAAUCCUCCAGAAAACUACUGAAACUAAUAGAAGAGUUCAGCAGAGUAUCGGGAUACAAAAUGAACGUACAAAAAUCAGUUGAAUUCCUCUACACCAACAAAAAGAACAUCGAAGAGGAAAUCACCAAAUCAAUACCAUUCACAGUAGCCCCCAAGAAGAUAAAAUACUUAGGAAUAAAUCUUACCAGAGAUGUAAAAGACUUACACAAAGAAAACUACAGUACACUUCUGCGAGAAACCAAAAGAGACUUAUGUAAGUGGAAAAACAUACCUUGCUCGUGGAUAGAAAGACUUAACAUUAUUAAAAUGUCUAUUCUACCAAAAGCGAUCUAUACAUUUAAUGCAAUUCCAAUCCAAAUCCCAAAGACAUUCUUUAAUAAGAUGGAGAAACAAAUCACCAACUUCAUAUGGAAGGGAAAGAGGCCCCGGAUAAAUAAGGCAUUACUGAAAAAGAAUAACAAAGUGGGUGACCUUACUUUACCUGAUUUUAGAACCUAUUAUACUGCCACAGUAGUCAAAACAGCCUGGUACUGGUACAACAGAUACAUGGACGAAUGGAACAGAAUUGAGAAUCCAGACAUAAAUCCAUCCACAUAUGAGCAGCUGAUAUUUGACAAGGGCCCCAAAACAGUUAAAUGGGGAAAAGACAGUCUUUUUAACAAAUGGUGCUGGCAUACCUGGAUAUCCAUCUGCAAAAAAAUGAAACAAGACCCAUACCUCACUCCAUGCACAAAAACUAACUCAAAGUGGAUCAAAGACCUAAAUAUAAAAUCUAAAACGAUAAAUAUCAUGGAAGAAAAAAUAGGGUUAUUAGGAGCCCUAAUACAUGGCAUAAACAGCAUACAAAACAUUAUUAAGAAUGCAGAAGAAAAAUUAGAUAACUGGGAGCUCCUAAAAAUCAAACACCUAUGCUCAUCCAAAGACUUCACCAAAAGAGUAAAAAGACUACUUACAGACUAGGAAAAAGUUUUCAGCUGUGACAUUUCUGAUCGGCACCUGAUCUCUAAAAUCUACAUAAUACUGCGAAAACUCAACUACAAAAAGACAAAUAACCCAAUUAAAAAAUGGGCAAAAGAUAUGAACAGACACUUCACUAAAGAAGACAUU